rnacentral:misc_RNA from 1 species
AAUGUUGCCGUCGUAGCGCGUGUGAAAGCGCGUCUGCCCGCCGACCGUCGGAACACCAAAUGAAUUGCCGUAACCGCCAACACCCGCGACCACGCCCGACAUCAGAUGACGCGUCUUCGGAUGGCUUGGAUCGCCGAAACUCAGAGCGUUGAGACAGGCAAUCGGGCGCGCGCCCAUGGUGAAAACGUCGCGCAGAAUGCCGCCAACACCAGUGGUCGCGCCCUGAUACGGCU